AGGGAAUCUUCCGCAAUGGGCGAAAGCCUGACGGAGCAACGCCGCGUGAGUGAAGAAGGUCUUCGGAUCGUAAAACUCUGUUAUUAGGGAAGAACAAAUGUGUAAGUAACUAUGCACGUCUUGACGGUACCUAAUCAGAAAGCCACGGCUAACUACGUGCCAGCAGCCGCGGUAAUACGUAGGUGGCAAGCGUUAUCCGGAAUUAUUGGGCGUAAAGCGCGCGUAGGCGGUUUUUUAAGUCUGAUGUGAAAGCCCACGGCUCAACCGUGGAGGGUCAUUGGAAACUGGAAAACUUGAGUGCAGAAGAGGAAAGUGGAAUUCCAUGUGUAGCGGUGAAAUGCGCAGAGAUAUGGAGGAACACCAGUGGCGAAGGCGACUUUCUGGUCUGUAACUGACGCUGAUGUGCGAAAGCGUGGGGAUCAAACAGGAUUAGAUACCCUGGUAGUCCACGCCGUAAACGAUGAGUGCUAAGUGUUAGGGGGGUUCCGCCCCUUAGUGCUGCAGCUAACGCAUUAAGCACUCCGCCUGGGGAGUACGACCGCAAGGUUG
rnacentral:rRNA from 1 species